UGGGGAAUUUUGCGCAAUGGGGGAAACCCUGACGCAGCAACGCCGCGUGGAGGAUGAAGUCCCUUGGGACGUAAACUCCUUUCGACCGGGACGAUUAUGACGGUACCGGUGGAAGAAGCCCCGGCUAACUUCGUGCCAGCAGCCGCGGUAAUACGAGGGGGGCAAGCGUUGUUCGGAAUUAUUGGGCGUAAAGGGCGCGUAGGCGGCAUGGUAAGUCACCUGUGAAAACUCCGGGCUCAACUCGGAGCCUGCAGGCGAAACUGCCGUGCUGGAGUAUGGGAGAGGUGCGUGGAAUUCCCGGUGUAGCGGUGAAAAUGCGUAGAUAUCGGGAGGAACACCUGUGGCGAAAGCGGGCGCAACUGGACCAUUUGACUGACGCUGAGGCGCGAAAGCU
rnacentral:rRNA from 1 species